UACGUAGGGCGCAAGCGUUAUCCGGUAUUAUUGGGCGUAAAGAGCUCGUAGGCGGUUUGUCGCGUCUGCCGUGAAAGUCCGGGGCUCAACUCCGGAUCUGCGGUGGGUACGGGCAGACUAGAGUGAUGUAGGGGAGACUGGAAUUCCUGGUGUAGCGGUGAAAUGCGCAGAUAUCAGGAGGAACACCGAUGGCGAAGGCAGGUCUCUGGGCAUUAACUGACGCUGAGGAGCGAAAGCAUGGGGAGCGAACAGG
rnacentral:rRNA from 1 species